CUGACCGACAGCUCCUCUCUCCCGUGGUAUGUCUCCAACUUCAAGGUGUCUCAGUAUGAGCCAUGAGAGAGUGACAAGUGAGCCACCAGGACCCUGAAACUGAAGGCAGCCUGUGGAUGGAUUAUGUGUGUCAGCACCUGCUGGGCGGUGACUCUACAGCUGCAGCUACAAAACACCUGCUUCUGCCUGCUGAGUCUGUUACAAAAUAAAAAUGAGUUGGAGAGAUUUUUUUUAAAAC